GUGAGUGUGGACGCCACUGGCGGGGGUGCCGCGGUGCGCGAGCGCUCGGCCAGCGGCAGAGACGCCGCGGGAGCCGCCCCCAGCGCCAACGCCGCCGCGGGCGGGAAGGGCGAGGCUCGGCGAGGCUGGGCGAGGAGCUGGGCGGCAGACGCUGAGCGGGGCGCGGCGCGGGGCGCCGGACGAGCGCGGGCGUAGGAGGAGCGCGGGCGUAGGAGUCGGCGACCCGCUCGCUCCCGCGGCCGGUGCCUCUGGGCUGGGGGCCGGGCUGGGGGCCGGGCCGGGCCGGGCCGGGCCGGGCGGCCAGGCGGCUCCGCCCCUUCGCCGGGCAGCGGCUGAGCGCGCGAGAGGAGCGGCGCGGGGGCGCCCCCCUCGGCCGGGCGCUCGGGUUUCAGCCGCCGCUCCUCCGCGCCCCGCCCGCGCCUGGCCCGCUCGCCGGCGCCGGGAGAGACCUCGUAACGGAACUGGGACGCCAGCGCUGCAUUGUGGGAGCUUUUAAAGCGGCGGGGAGCUCGGCGCGACCCUCGGGCCCACCGGGCCACGCUCGCCCGGCCCGCGACGCCCCCCCGCUGUCGCCUGGCCCGCGACGCACCGAGGCCUGAGGACCCGAAAGCCGGGCGCGGGGAGAUGACCGGUGGCUCGUGACGGUCCCACGGGCAAAAUCUUCCAUCGCCCGGGGCUGAGACUUGUCAAACUGCCCUCUACGGUCACCCGGAAAGUAGGAGGCUUUUUCUGCAGAGGGGAAAAAAAUCAAAAAGAGCCGUUCCAUCCCCCCUCCAAGGACUGGGUUUGAAUUGCUUUUCAUCUGCAGUGGCUGUGAUUCAGCGUCCCUCUUAGCAGCAGGCAAUGACAGAGGCAGGAGAGGGGAAAAAAAAAAAGAAAGAAAGAAAAAACACAGCAAAUGAAUCAAACGGACCAGGUAGCAGGCAAGAGUGUGGUUAUCGUUGGACCAGGAUUCAGGAUCUGACUGAGUAGCUGACUCUUAAUCCAGUUUGUGUUGAUCACCAGGAGGAUCUGGACCUCAGUAUUACCACAUCUAGAGCUAUAAUCACAUCCCUGUUAAGCCUUCCUGAGAUCACACCAAAUGUCCUUGAUGGGAAUUGUAAACAACCCUUACUUCUGGUUUCUAAUGAUAUUCCAGGAAAGGAGCCUAACUAGAGUCAGUGAUAUGCCAACUCCACCUUUGCCUUCCACCAUGUUUGGAAGCUCCCUGAGGCCUCACCAGGAGCAGAUGCUCGUCCCAUGCUUCCUAUAAGCCUGCAGAACUGGAAAAGAAAGCUGGAUAAAGUAUUUAUAGAAGAUAGAGGACCUGUGGUGGCUCAUGCCUGUAAUCCAAGGUGGAAGGAUUGCUUGAGGCCAGAAGUUCAAGACCAGUCCAAGCAACAUAGCAAGGCCCCAUCUCUACAAAAAAUGAAAAUAAAAUUAGCCGAGCGUGAUGGCUCAUGCCUGUAGUUCUAGCUUCUAGAGAGGCUGAGGCAGGAGGAUUGCUUGAGUCCAGGAGUUCAAGAUUACAGUGAGCUAUGGUCACACCACUGCACUCCAGCCUGGGUGAUGGAGUGAGACUGUCUCAAUAAAAAGACAAAAAGGUCAAGGAAGCUUUUCCUGAUCCACUAACUAAGGACAAUCAAACCCUUCAUGAUCUAGAAUCUGGAGACUGUGUCUUCUGGGAAUAGUAUCAGAGAAAGACUGCCCUUACUGCCCACAUGUAGCAAAACUUUGAGACGUUGAAUUAUGGGUCCAUAAUCUCACAACUCAGAGGGGCACCUCUAGACUCUUGGAACUGUAUAUCUAUUGGAGACUUUAAGGUAAAGCUGAACAGAGAGACGUUUUUCUCCAGAAGCAGACAGCACCAUAGUCAUGGACAGCUUUCCCAAGAUCACAGAUCAAGACUUCUCUGCCGUCAUGAGACUCAUAACCUCUUAAUUUUUUCUUGCUUAUGCUUCUGUGAACAAUAGAAUUGGAAAAGGGGUGGUCCCGCGUGCACCCAUAGGGUAUACUUUUAUUUGUGGAGGAUUUUGCUGCCAACCUUAUACAUGGGCAAACUUAUGCCUUCAUGGAUGGAAGAUAAAGGGCUAAUAUGGGUUAGAAAUUUUAAUGGUACCUUUGUUUCUCCAUAAUCAUUCAGAAACAGAACACUGGUCCACUCUUGUUAACCUACAUCAUAGGUUGAAGAGAACAUUGCCAGGAGGCCUUCAUCCUUCCAGAUGGGCACCAUUUGUUGGGUCUUUUUCCGUGGUAUGAAGAAAAUGAAGCAAUGAUUAGAAAUUGGUCCCUCGGCCGGGCACAAUGGCUCAUGCCUGUAAUCCCAUCACUUUGGCAGGCCGAGGCGGGUGGAUCACCUGAGGUCAGGAGUUUGAGACCAGCCUGACCAAUGUGGUGAAACGCCAUCUCUACUAAAAAUACAAAAAUUAGCUGGGUGUGAUGGUGCACACCUGUAAUCCAGCUACUCGGGAGGCUGAGACAGGAGAAUUGCUUGAACCUGGGAGGCAGAGGUUGCAGUGAGCCAAGAUCACCCCACUGCAUUCCAGGUUGGGCAACAGAGCAAGACUCUGUCUCAAAAAAAAAAGAAGAAAGAAAGAAAUUGAUCCCUCAUAAUAGGCUGUAUAGCAGAUUCUACUGCAAAGGCUAUGGUUGCACAACAGACUUCUUUGAAUUUGCUUGCUAAACUUUUACUGGAUAAUACUGGGAUUACAGGUGUGAGCCACUGUGCCCAGCCUCUCCUGUUUAACUGUAUUCAUUCUAAUGUUUACUUACUUCUUUAAUUUGUAAAAUUGGGUCACUUAGAGUUUUUUUAGCCUAUCUUGCCAUUUAGCCACUGUUACUGAUAAUUUGGAUGGAAAAGAAAAAUAAAUUAUAUCACCUCUCAUCUUCAGUGUAUAUAUGUGUUAACUUAGUAAAUAUAGUAUUCUUUCUCGUUCCUAAUGAAAAUUUAGUUUACGUACUGAAACACUGCAAACUUUUAUAAAUAUUGUGAUGUAUUUGACCAAUACAAAGGAUCUUUUUAGAAACAGCAAACAGUUCUCAGAUUAUAGGAAUUACUCAUUUAAUGAUAGUUUCUUCUU
rnacentral:lncRNA from 1 species